rnacentral:rRNA from 1 species
UACGGAGGGUGCAAGCGUUGUUCGGAUUUAUUGGGCGUAAAGCGCGUGUAGGCGGUCUCUUAAGUCUGAUGUGAAAGCCCCCAGCUCAACUGGGGAAGUGCCUUUGAUACUGGUUGUCUCGAGGGAGGUAGGGGCGUGCGGAACUUCCGGUGGAGCGGUGAAAUGCGUAGAUAUCGGAAGGAACGCCGGUGGCGAAAGCGGCGCGCUGGACCUCUUCUGACGCUGAGGCGCGAAAGCUAGGGGAGCAAACGGG